GAGGGCGUAGCUCAGUGGUAGAGUGCCUGCUUAGCAUGCAAGAGGUCCUAGGUUCAAUCCCCAGUCCCUCCA
rnacentral:tRNA from 1 species